AUUAAAAUUUAUUUAAAGAUAUUACGUCAAGAGGAUAGUAUGUCAAUAAGAGUUACUUUAUUACGAUGUUAUCUAUGAAUGAAUAGUCUACGACAAUAGUUUUCCGAUUGUUGCGAAUUUAAUUUUGUAAUAAUCGACAGUGGAUAACAUUAACUGGUAUGAGACGCUACUAUUUUGUUUAAAUUAAAUACUCCAUUUUUUGUAAUGAUGAAUUACGAAUUACGAAUUUGGAAUUUGGUCCAACAGGUCAACGUCCAGGUCAUGUUACAAUUAAGUUUAAUGAUUUAUGCAUGAAAAAUAAAAUUAUGAUACUAAAAACGUAUAUUGGAAGCGUUGUAUUAGCUUUUUGUUAACAAGAUAAGAUAAGCAAAUACUACAUUGAGAUAUCACUGACACGAUUAGAACACUUAUGCUUCAUGAAAGUUUCUUUUAAAAACCAAUGUUAAAUCAUUAAAUUCGUGAAUCACUUUCAGUUUAUUCAUUGCAUGUUUUAAUUUAGAAACGGAUAAUGAAAAUAAAAUAUAUAACAUUGAAAGUCAUUAAAUUGUUUUUUUAAAUUUAAAUCAACUGAAGAUCACGAAAUAUUAAAUUAUUCCAGAGACAUACGGUAAUAAAUAAGUAAGUAAUUUGUUUGUCUAUUAAUUAUGACUUAGAUAUAUUUUUAGGUUAUGUCAUGUAAUACCGACAAGAUAUACAUCCAAGCUAAUAUUAAACAAUUAGUAAAAUUUGCUUAACCAUGUAUAGAAAAAUAAAUUUAUUCCGAUAAUAAUCUAAAAAAAUGUAUCCAAUAAACACAAAUUAAACAACGAAAAGUAGAACUUUAGCUGUAUUUCAAACCAUUUAAAAAUAAUUCCAUUUAUCUUUUAACUAUUGUUAAUAGAAAAAUAUAAAAAAUAAAGUAUUUAUAGAAGUUAAUUUUAAAAGAAAAAAGAAUUGUUAAAGGACAAUUUUUAAAAACGUUAAAAAAGUUUAAGAUUCAUAAUUAAUUGAGCUAUUGUUUGAAGAAAAAUGAUUUUACAUGAAGUACUAAUUUAAUAAUAUUGAUUGUAUUGCAACGUAUUACACACCAGUAAUUAGCAUGAGAUUAACAAUGAAAAAUAUUUAUCUUAUCAAAAGUCAAGAUUUAUGUACUCAGGUAUUAAAAAGAAAAAAAUAACAUGUUAAGUCACAAAACAAAAGAAUAAUUUUUUAAGGAUAUAACACAAUACCUAAGAUUUACCUGUCACAUAGCUGACUACAACUCCAACGAAAACAGUGACGAAUGUGCCAAUCAAGGAAUAGUACAUAUAGGUUACUGAAUACAAAGAAGAUAAGAUGUUUCUGAAAUAAUUGAUUAUAAUAAAAUAUUAGCCAACUAAGUACUAUAAAUUUCAUGGAUGAUAAUAAAAAUAAACAAACUA